AAACAAGGGAAAAAUCAUAUCCAAAAAUAUCAUAUCAUUAUAUCUAAAAUAUAAAGUAACAAAACUGAUAGUGUGAUUCCUUAUGAAGAUUCAAUUGUAGUUAAAGGCUCAACAAUGCAAUGGAGAAUAUGCAAUGAAAGGCUCAACAAUGUUCCCCAGUGUGAGUAUCAAAGGAAUAUGAGAGAGAUUCACUGUUAGAAGAGAUAAGGAC